rnacentral:rRNA from 1 species
UACGUAGGGCGCAAGCGUUAUCCGGAAUUACUGGGCGUAAAGCGCACGUAGGCGGCUUUUUAAGUCAGGGGUGAAAUCCCGGGGCUCAACCCCGGAACUGCCCUUGAAACUGGAGAGCUAGAAUCUUGGAGAGGCGAGUGGAAUUCCGAGUGUAGAGGUGAAAUUCGUAGAUAUUCGGAAGAACACCAGUGGCGAAGGCGACUCGCUGGACAAGUAUUGACGCUGAGGUGCGAAAGCGUGGGGAGCAAACAGG